CGAUAAUAGCAAACUCAUGCGAAAGCUGGGGACGCAAAGCUACGGGCCUAAAGGGAGGAAACCAUGGUCGCCGAGCCACCGA
rnacentral:ncRNA from 1 species